CUUUAUCUCUGUUUCCCGCAUUAUUUUAGUCAGUGUAACAGAAAAUACGUCAAUCUGUUUGCGUAUGGUUGUACAAAUAAACAUGUCGGCCUAGAACCUAAGUUCUAAGAUACCAGCCAACCAGUGUGCCUGAUGUGUGAAGCAACAUACCUUACCAUACAACCGAUCCUGAAUCUAUCCUAGUAGGUAGAUCCUGAAUCUACCUUGUUACAAGAAAACCUUUUGAAGAUGUCAGGUCUUUUUUAUGUGGUUAUGGUUAAGGCAGUGUGUAUAUUAAAGAGACCUGAUUGUAAUGUUAUCUCUUAAUUGUUUAGUUGGCCCUGCAACCCAAGUCUGUCUUGAUAACAGUAUAUUAAAGUCAUACAACCAGAAGUAUUGGCUAGUAUUUGUUUUAAACACACCCAUACCUGCACAUGUGGGUGGAGUUAAGCUGUGUGCCACCUCCGUACUAGUACGAAGAGUAGUCUCUCUUUUUUAUUGUAAGUUUGUGUGUGUGUAUGCAAGCAAGCGAGUUUGUGUUUGUAAUGGGACAGGAAUAUUUGACAUCAGCAGCCGAGCGUAACCUGAUUUGUCCGACUCCCUGGGGCAGGGAUGGAUCCGGAAAGUUUUGUCUCCAGGAUGAUGACAUCAUGACUCUAGACUACUGACGGCUGCGCUGAAAUAUAUAACCAGAAGAUGUUUGUUUUCCUCAUUGUCCGCUUCUGUGAAGAGAGACACGAACCAGCUGUAAAAACAUAUACCUACGUUUUUGUAGAAAUCAACGCAACGUACGCUAAAUGUAUUGUGUUUUUUUUAAAUGGUCAUAGGCUUUUUGUAUCUUAGGGUUGUUCACAAUGAGUGAAUGUGAGCAUUUGUGCAUGUGCAAUGUGGAACUCCAUAAUUCAGUAAGAUUUCAGUCAUUCUGUGAUGUGGAUGUGUGUGAGCCAUGGUACAAUGUACUGUGGGUAGAUUUGCAAGAUAAGCAAACCCAUGAAUGUGCUUUUCCUGGAUUUGUUUUGCCAUCGAGAGAUAAACUUGCAGACUAGUUGUGCUCUGAACUUUGAGUAAUAACCACCAGAUCAGCUCAAAGAAUCAAAUUGUUCCUGAGUCUGUGACCAGAGCGGGAACAGCUAUGCAAUCGCAGCUUUAUCUCUUUCUGUUUAUCCAUUGGUGUUGAGGUUGAGCUAUGUGGUAUUGGUACAUUUAGCAAAUUAAACUCCUAAACAAACUU
ensembl:lncRNA